rnacentral:rRNA from 2 species
UAAUACGAAGGGGGCUAGCGUUGUUCGGAAUUACUGGGCGUAAAGCGCACGUAGGCGGAUCGAUAAGUAAGGGGUGAAAUCCCAGAGCUCAACUCUGGAACUGCCUUUUAAACUGUCGAUCUGGAGCAGAGUAGAGGUGAGUGGAAUUCCGAGUGUAGAGGUGAAAUUCGUAGAUAUUCGGAGGAACACCAGUGGCGAAGGCGGCUCACUGGACUCUUGCUGACGCUGAGGUGCGAAAGCGUGGGGAGCAAACAGG